GACGAACGCUGGCGGCGUGCUUAACACAUGCAAGUCGAACGGAAAGGCCCUGCUUUUGUGGGGUGCUCGAGUGGCGAACGGGUGCGUAACACGUGAGUAACCUGCUCUUGACUUUGGGAUAACUUCAGGAAACUGGGGCUAAUACCGGAUCGGAGCUCCUGCUGCAUGGUGGGGGUUGGAAAGUUUCGGCGGUUGUGGAUGGACUCGCGGGUUAUCAGCUUGUUGGUGGGGUAGUGGCUUACCAAGGCUUUGACGGGUAGCCGGCCUGAGAGGGUGACCGGCCACAAUGGUACUGAGAUACGGCCCAGACUCCUACGGGAGGCAGCAGUGGGGAGUAUUGCACAAUGGGCGGAAGCCUGAUGCAGCAGCGCCGCGUUCGGGAUGACGGCCUUCGGGGUGUAAACCGCUUUCGCCUGUGACGAAGCGGGAGUGACGGUAAUGGAUAAAGAAGCACCGGCUAACUACGUG
rnacentral:rRNA from 1 species